GGUCAGAUGGCCGAGUGGUUAUGGCGCUAGCUUCAGGUGCUAGUGGAGCAAUCCUCGUGGGUUCGAGUCCCACUCUGAUCA
rnacentral:tRNA from 1 species